AUGGACAAACCGUUGGCAGCGGUGAGAACAAACAGAUCGUAAAGACGCGGUCAAUCCUUCCCAGGAGGCUCGAACCGCGUCAUCCCUGGCGCGGACGCUUU
rnacentral:ncRNA from 1 species